AGAUUACACACCCUGGAGAUCUGUGCUACUGCAGCUGGACUCUUUCUGGUGAGCAGGAUAAGCAGAUUAGAAGUGAGGAAGUGAAGGGUGUCAUAGAGAAAGCUGCUUAUUGAUAAUGUGACCUGCUCUUCUCAGUUUACAUCUGUGCUGUGGAAUUAGCUGGACAUUUGAGAGGGUUGAAACAAGUUGCUGUUGCAAUUAAGGAAGAGCUCCUUCAGCUGUCCCUUCAGAUUGUCAGACUUAGGAGGAUUAAUGGACACUGGACUUCAAGAGGACAGAGGCACCCAGACCUUUACUGAUAAACUCCAAUUCUGUGUAUUUCCAAUGGGGAAUCUCUAAGCAGCUAUUCACCAGUGAGCUGAUACUCUGCAACACAAUUCAGAGACACCCAACUCCACAAAUGGACUAAACAGAGGAAGCCUUGGCCCUUAACCUCCCCAGUAUUUCAUUCUGUGCCUACCUCAGAAGCCCUUUGGCCAUGUUGCACAGGAUGACUCAGCAGGAGCAACAUCUCACAGUCAGUGGACAGAAGCCAGGUAUAAGCUGUGGCCACGGACUUGCCUACAGGCAAGGAGGCAGUAGUUCUUCUGUUUUUCCAAGGCACUGGACCAGAACCUGUGCUGUGAUUUGCCAGCAUUAUUCCAGUCUCAGACAGGGGAAACAUCCAGAACAUUUUUUGUUCUCUGGUAACCUCAAUGUCUGCACUACACUUGUGAUUAAGUCUCCUCAAAGGCUUACAAAAGGUUGGGUGCUGCUGACAUGUCAAUCACCUGGACACUUCUCUGCUUAUCAUUUUCUUUUCAAGAAAGAACGGGCUACUUCCAUUGGCCAGAUCAGUUGAAAAUUCUGACCCUAGAAUUUAGAGCAGAGAGUGUAUAAAUGCAGAAUAAUACAGAGUGGACAGCAAGAUUACAGCCUCAGAUUAUCAAUGAAUAUUUAAAUACACAACAGCUUUUCAGCAAUGAUUCAAAUGUGUUUCAAUAGAAUGACUUCAAAUUGGCUUGCCAUCUGUUAGGAUGAGAAAAAUCAAAUGGA
rnacentral:lncRNA from 1 species